CUCUCUCUCUCUCACUCACUCACACACACGCAGAACCAUUCACACAGUUCAGUCACUCAGCCCAUAUUCAGUGUGGACAUUAUGUUCUCAAGGUCCUGCGCUGCCGCCUCCUACAACACCCUGAUGAGAAACAAUAAUCCUGGCCCCAUGACUAUGGUAUGUAGGCUGGUUGAUGGCACCUGCAGGCCUGUUUGAGGGACAACUGGACAGAAGAUAUCAGAAUGCUCGGACCUCAGCUGAGACCCUCCUCUCCUUCCCCGUCCUUCAAGGAAAGACCCUUCUUUACACUUCCUGUCAGGCAUGAUGCUCUCAAGGUGUCUCUCCAUCUCUUACAUGUGGUGUGGUAAUCCCUGUAGAUGCUCUCAAGAUGGUAUGUAGGCUGGUUGAUGGCACCUGCAGGCCUGUUUGAGGGACAACUGGACAGAAGAUAUCAGAAUGCUUGGACCUCAGCUGAGACCCUCCUCUCCUUCCCUGUCCUUCAAGGAAAGCCCCUUCUUUACACUUCCUGUCAGGCAUGAUGCUCUCAAGGUGUCUCUCCAUCUCUUACAUGUGGUGUGGUAAUCCCUGUAGAUGCUCUCAAGGUGUGUCUCUCCAUCUCUUACAUGUGAUGUGGUAAUCCCUGUAGAUUACCCGUAGACACUUUAAAAUUGUUUGCCUGUGAAUGGUUGUCCACAUCAGGCUAUUUACUUGUUGCCUGUGUGUUGAAAUACUGUGUCCCUCUCACAGAAUUUGAAUGAUCCCUCAACUGCCCCAUGCUUUCACUCUCUUUCUCUCCAGGAUACAUUUGGGGAAAUUGUUGUGCUGUUGGCACCAAUCCCAUGCUGCCAAUUUAGACAGGAUCAACUUCUUU